rnacentral:rRNA from 1 species
AUUGAACGCUGGCGGCAGGCCUAACACAUGCAAGUCGAACGAGUGGCGGACGGGUGAGUAAUGUCUGGGAAACUGCCCGAUGGAGGGGGAUAACUACUGGAAACGGUAGCUAAUACCGCAUACCAUCGGAUGUGCCCAGAUGGGAUGAGCUAGUAGGUGGGGUAACGGCCCACCUAGGCGACGAUCCCUAGCUGGUCUGAGAGGAUGACCAGCAACACUGGAACGGAGACACGGUCCAGAAUCGUACGGGAGGCAGCAGUGGGGAAUAUUGGAGAAUGGGCGCAAGCCUGAUGCAGCCAUGCCGCGUGUAUGAAGAAGGCCUUCGGGGUGUAAAGUACUUUCAGCGAGGAGGCGUUACUCGCAGAAGAAGCACCGGCUAACUCCGUGCCAGCAGCCGCGGUAAUAC